CAUUUCAGAUUUCAUUUUCCCUUUCUUCAACCCAUACGGCUGCUGCUUCUCCUCUUCUCCUUCAUUUUAAGUCAUUUGUUUUUCUCCUCUGUUUUUCAUUGAGUUGCCAUCUACAGUAUUUCUUCUUCCUCUCGAUCUUAUUUUCGGAUCUUCCCCUCUACAAGUUAGCAAACGCCACCACUCAUUCCUCCAUCUUCAGCUAGUCUAUCUUUGAGCCUCCAUUGUUGUGCUUUCUCUGAACUCUUUCUUUCUAAUUUCGUGGCUCAUGCUUGUGAUGUAUUCCCAUUGCUUUCCCUUUUUAUUUGGUCCUUUACUGCGCUGUUGUCUUAUUUUUUGUCGUGCCCUAUUUUUCCAUAAAAGCCAUGAGCUUCACUCGUAUCUUGGUGAUUUUGGUGCUUGUCUUGAGUGCGUGUUCUGCUACUGCUUAUUGCUCUCGGUUUCCCUUGGGUGACGAUUGAAAAUUAUUCAGUACUGUUGUGGAGAAUUUCUGAAUAAGCUAAGAA